GGAGGAAUAUUGGUCAAUGGGCGAGAGCCUGAACCAGCCAAGUAGCGUGAGGGAUGACUGCCCUAUGGGUUGUAAACCUCUUUUGAUUGGGAACAAAGAGCGCCACGUGUGGUGCGUUGCGUGUACCUUUCGAAUAAGCAUCGGCUAAUUCCGUGCCAGCAGCCGCGGUAAUACGGAAGAUGCGAGCGUUAUCCGGAUUUAUUGGGUUUAAAGGGAGCGUAGGCGGGCUGUUAAGUCAGCGGUCAAAUGUCAGGGCCCAACCUUGGCAUGCCGUUGAUACUGGCGGCCUUGAGUUCACACAAGGAAGGUGGAAUUCGUCGUGUAGCGGUGAAAUGCUUAGAUAUGACGAAGAACUCC
rnacentral:rRNA from 1 species